rnacentral:sRNA from 1 species
AAUUUUUAUUUUAAACAAAAUUUCAGUUUUAUACAUUAUUUUUUAGUAUGCAUUCGUUAGAAUUCUAAAAAUAAAACAUAAGUAUAAGCUUGCAGUAUCACAUCAAAAGAUGUAAUCCCCUCCAUCACAGGAUGCAUUAAAGUUCUUUAAAUAAAACAUAAGAAUUAAUUUUUGGGAGAUUUGCAAAACUACCCUUUUGCAACAAUACCCUUUUGUAUUGUCCAUUUUUUAAAAUACCUUUUUCCUUGAACAUAAUAACCAAAUUACCCUCAUCUAAUAGGAACAUGUAAUUGGAAACGGAAUUUUUCUCGCCAAAAAAAAA